GUAGGUCUGCUGAAAUAGCAAAAAGGAAUAUGAAUAGCUCCCUCUUUCUCACUCAUUUUUGGUCUAUUCUCCAAUAUUAAUCCAUAUUUUAAACGCUGUAAGUACGUAUACGUGUACCGUGCUCUACUUUUGCAAGUCUAUAAAGAUGGCCUUGGUUCUCCCACAUCUCUGUGAUUUAUCAAUAAGGUAGAUAUAUAGUAAGUAGGCUAGAGAUAUAUGGUAUGCAUCAAAUAAUGGAUCUCUCUCUCUAAUCUUCAAGUUCCUUCGUCUAAAGCCUAUUUGAAGGAGCCUGUAAUGAUGGAGACGGCCCGAGAAGAUAAGGGAAAUUGCCACGGUCACGGUGGCGAAAUCGUGGGUCUUGACUGUGGGACGGAUGAAGGAGGAAUUCAAGGUUGAGGUUUUCUUUGUGCGGAAAUCUUUUUCAGUUAGUCGUUCACACUGCAGAAAGGUUUUCGCUGGAAUAGGUUCGUAUGUAUCAAAGUAAUUCAUUCAUUCAUAAUAUCUAUGAGGGGCCCGGGGGAUAUAAAUAACACUUGUUUCUCUUUUGGGUUAAAGAUUCUAAACGUUCUUUCUAGAAGCGUUGAGGGGUGAGCAUGCUCUAUUCUAAAGAGUAGGGUAAUAUCUCCUCAACAAUUGUUUCAAGAGCAAAUCGCUCUUAUGUUAGAGACCUGUACCCAUUAUAUUCUUUAUUAUCUGUGAAUGUGGAAUAGUUGUAGAGUUAUGUAUAAUGAUAGCAAAGCAUUCUAUUCCAUUUUGCCAUCAUUUUACUACUAAAUUCAUGCCCCAUUUCCUACCACUACUAGCUUCUUUGGCCCAUAUUAAAUGGUUAAAAUUGGUUCGAAUGCAUUAUUAUCACUAUGUGUGAGCCCCACAAUUAUUCAACAUUAACAGGUAACAGAAAAGAUGAUGGGUCUUUCACGAAAGGGUGAUUUUGCUCUUGAAGAAAUUUGUUUUGGAAAAUAUUGUCCAACCUUUCAAUACAAAGUCCCUAGGGUUCUUAAAAAAGAAAUUUAAGGGAAACAAUCAUAUUUAACCCUUUUCUCUUUGGUGAAAAGUUGUUGCUUUCCAAAUGUUGACUGAUCUCAGUUAGGUCCUACAUAUGGGAUUCACACAGUUUCCAAGCCGGAGUUAUAGGUCCAAGAUCAAUGCUGGUUGAAGCAAAAUUAUUUAUAAAUCUCAAAAGAACGUUGGAACGUUACGAUAGUAUCAUUGUCGAUGUUCUUGGAGCUUGAGGUUGUAUGCAAAAGCUGGGAAUAACGCAGGCAGAAACUUGUGAUUAGGGUUUUCUGGAGUACUGUAAAAUUGUGCGUGCGUGCAUGUGUGAUAUAAUUGCAGACAAAUACGCAUGUGAGAGAGCAGAAGAGAACCCCAAAGCUGCUGCUGCUUCUUCUUCUUCUAGGGUGUUGCUCUCUUUCCACUAGCUACAAGUUCCUACAUGGAUCAUGCAUCUCUCUUAUUACAUGGAGCAAUUACCGACAUAUCCUGUCUCUUGUAUCUUUUUUUUCCCCACUUUUAAUUUCAAAAUAGCGUCUGUUUAUGCAUAAUUAAUCACGUAUAAUUGUAAGAGCUAGUGGUAUACGGGACUGAAUCUCAAAAUGAUGAUGUAAACUUACUAUUUUAUCUGUAUUUGUAUUUUGUUGAGGGCAAUAACUUGUUCACAUA